CCCGGCUGAGACACGAGUGUGGGAAAGUGACGUGAUAAGCGGUCGGCUUGUAUUAUGUUGUUAACACGAAGGUGUAAUCACUAUGUUUUUCCGUCGUGGACUUUGGGUGUGUUGCCAUGUGGUAUAUUCCAUUUUUAUGGCAGUGGGAAACAUUUGGACGCACGUGAAUAAAUUUGUGGAAAGACAUCUAUACGCUACAACAUUAGAAAAUGAAAUGCUGUAUGUUUCAAAAUGUGCUGAACAUUUUAAUAAGACACCUCAACACAUAGUGUUGCUUUUAGGAAAUGAAACUAUAUCUUAUAAAGACUUAGCGAAUAUUAUAUUAUGGUGCGUUGCGGCGGGAAUCUCGUUUGUUACUUUAUACGACCAUGAUGGUCACCUGCAACAAAAUCAAGAUGAGCUAUAUCAAGCUGUGAAAACGAGAAGCAAGUUGUGUGUGGGAAGAAUCAUAUGGGGAAGAAAUAAAACACUAAAUGGAUUAGGUGUUGAAAACGGUGUGCAAAAUGACAGGAUGAUUUAAAGUAAAACAUUGAUGUUUGGUUGUCACAAGGUGCUUGCUGAAAUUUUGAUCGGUGAUGUAGCUUGAUGAUCAAGAGCGUCAACAUGUCAGAAAGUGUAAUGUUCAAACUCUAUCCAGGUACAAAAGCAAUAGCAAAAACACGGGUAACAGUUUUAUCGCUUAAUGAUUCAAAGGAAACAUUCCUCAAAGUGACAAGAUCUCUCUGCUAUUCAGCUAAAAACAGAGAAGUGAAAUCUUGUCACAUCAGUCA
rnacentral:misc_RNA from 1 species